rnacentral:lncRNA from 1 species
GCCCGGGGACCGGCUCCCCCCGCCCCCGCGGGCCCCGCGGCCCCGGCCCUGAGCGCCUCUUCCCAGCCCUUCGCUGUGCGCUCCUCCGCGGUCCCCUCGGCCCAGGCGGUCCUUCCCAUUCCUGCCGCUGUCACUUUUUCUACUGGACUAAUAAAGUUUGGGGAAGGAAUCUCCAGCGGUUGCUCCUCUUGGUGCAAUAGUUACCGAGUUUCCUUCACACGAAGUUCCAGGGCUGCCACCCUGAAGAAGUGCCGGCAGCGUCCUCCCUGGACACCACGAUACUAUUUUUCUCCUGCCCUGCCCAGCCGGUGGAGGAGAUUCACGGUCUUCCUGUCGCGUCGGGACCCCUUGAGGUUCCACGGGGACGGGAGAAGGAGUAGCUGUCCCCUCCCCUUCAGUAGGAAGUGUAGUCCGCGCUCGAGAACCGCCAACCAACACCCGCAUCACGCUGGGUUCCUGCAAACCCGACGGAGCGCUCCUCCGAGCCUCUCUGCAGGCCCCAGGGGAGGCGGUGGGAUUCCUGCCCCGCGACGGAAGCCGCGCUGAGGGGCCCUGCCCUGCCCCCUGGCCCCCUGGAUGGGUCUGGGAGAGGGGCAGGGCUGCCCUUUCCCGCCCGAGAAGCAGCGCGAGGGCGCUCACCCCCAUCCGGAGACGCGAGGGUGACGGA